GAUGAACGCUGGCGGCGUGCCUAAUACAUGCAAAUCGAGCGAACAGACGAGGAGCUUGCUCCUCUGACGUUAGCGGCGGACGGGUGAGUAACACGUGGAUAACCUACCUAUAAGACUGGGAUAACUUCGGGAAACCGGAGCUAAUACCGGAUAAUAUAUUGAACCGCAUGGUUCAAUAGUGAAAGACGGUUUUGCUGUCACUUAUAGAUGGAUCCGCGCCGCAUUAGCUAGUUGGUAAGGUAACGGCUUACCAAGGCAACGAUGCGUAGCCGACCUGAGAGGGUGGUCGGCCACACUGGAACUGAGACACGGUCCAGACUCCUACGGGAGGCAGCAGUAGGGAAUCUUCCGCAAUGGGCGAAAGCUUGACGGAGCAACGCCGCGUGAGUGAUGAAGGUCUUCGGAUCGUAAAACUCUGUUAUUAGGGAAGAACAAAUGUGUAAGUAACUAUGCACGUCUUGACGGUACCUAAUCAGAAAGCCACGGCUAACUACGUG
rnacentral:rRNA from 1 species